UCCAUAUUGAUCGUGUCCAUGCUUAUAAAUAUCUGGGCAUCUGUUAGAUAAAAAGCUGUCUUUUAAAAAGCACAUGGAUGAGUUAGUUAAGAAGCUGAGAAUGAAAAUGGGCUUAUUUUAUAGAAAUAGGUCCUGCCCCUCUUCAGUCGAUGUUCCUAUCUGUCCUAGACUUUGUCGACAUCAUCUAUAUGAACACAGCUGCCACUUGAUUAAAACCGUUAAAUGCAGUUUAUCAUGGCGCACUGUGCUUUAUUACGGGCGACAAUUUUUGUACAAAUCACUGCAUUCUCUACCAUAUAGUUGGUUGGCCUUCUUUGAUGUCAUGUAUGUUGAUAUAUUGCUAUGUUUUCAUUUAUUAAGCCCUUUUACAAAAAAGUCCUACUGUACCUAACAUCAUUACUAAUCUUUAGACAUAGGAGUUACCACACCUGGUCUCAAGGAUUGCAAACUCUGGAAAUUCCUUUGAUCUCUACUGAGUUAGGUAAAUCAGGACCUUAUUACUGAUUAAUGUUUUUUUUAUUUUUUUUUUACAUUUUUAAUCUCAUUUAACCUUUAUUUAACAAGGCAAGUCAGUUAAGAACAAAUUCUUAUUUACAAUGACAGCCUACCAGGGAACAGUGUGUUAUCUGCCUUAUUCAAGGGCAGAACAACAUAUUUUUAAGACAGACAUUUAUGACCGUGUUUUACUUUCUGCGUGUUGUAUUUAUAUUUUGAUGUGUGUAUUUUCUGUAAUUUAUGUAAUUCAUGGAUCAUCUGUAUAAAAAAAGAGACCUUGGUCUCAGUAUGACUCCCUGAUGAAAUAAAGGUUUAAACAAUAAUUAGGCACAAUUGAAAUAAAGUAUUUUUUCUUUAAAAGUUGCCGAAAUGCCACAUAGGUCCACUUAUCCAUAACUUAUAUCAGUGCACUCGUAACAACCUAACCAUUACAAAACCUACAGUUGAUCAAAUAAGCUUUCCGCAGCAAAUUAGCAAUUACAUUUUUUUGUUGAUCAAAUUCGACACCCUCUCAUUUAACCUCCAUCUAAAAAUUCACCACUUCUGUGUUUUAUUUUGUCGACAGAUUUUGGGCGGAGUAAAACCUC
ensembl:lncRNA